rnacentral:rRNA from 1 species
UACGGGGGGGGCAAGCGUUGUUCGGAAUUACUGGGCGUAAAGGGCUCGUAGGUGGCCAACUAAGUCAGACGUGAAAUCCCUCGGCUUAACCGGGGAACUGCGUCUGAUACUGGAUGGCUUGAGCUCGGGAGAGGGAUGCGGAAUUCCAGGUGUAGCGGUGAAAUGCGUAGAUAUCUGGAGGAACACCGAUGGCGAAGGCAGGUCUCUGGGCCACUACUGACGCUGAGAAGCGAAAGCAUGGGGAGCGAACAGG